UUCUUCGCAUACUUAAUAUAUUAGCCUAAAACUUGGCGCCGAGUACACCCAGCUUAAAUCCAGAUUUUUUGGUUACUGGCUAGGCCCAUGGUUCCCGAUUCAUAAGAUUUAGUUUUGACGGCUGUAGUUUUAUCUAAUCAUUAGAUUAAACCUAUUUGUGUUUCCUCAAGCUUACUGUCGCCGGAGCUUGCGUCAAAAACCUCUAAGCAGUGUAAAAAAAAAAAAGAGGUGAGAGAGUAAUGAAGGUGAGAUGGGGUUAAACCAUAACUGUGCAAUAAAAAUUGAGCAUUCUGAAAGAGUUCAUGUGAUUGCAGUUACCAAACCAAACUGCACCGCCAAUUGCCAAGAAUGUGUAUUCUUUUGGAAAGUCAAUUAGCAUCCUCUUGGCUGUUAGUGUCGGUGACAACCGCAAACUACAUGUGAAGCGUCUCUCUCAGAUUGGGCGGUGAAGCGUCUCUCUAAAAUUGGGCGGGG